rnacentral:tRNA from 1 species
GCAUUGAUAGUGUAGGGGUAUCAUGAGUCGUUGCCACUCAUCAUCUGUUCCCAGAUGAGAACCGAUUCGACUCGACCGGGGUUCGAGUCCCCGUCAAUGCA